rnacentral:rRNA from 1 species
CCUACGGGAGGCAGCAGUGGGGAAUAUUGGGCAAUGGAGGAAACUCUGACCCAGCGACGCCGCGUGAGGGAUGAAGGCCUUCGGGUUGUAAACCUCUUUCAGUAGGGAAGAAGCGAAAGUGACGGUACCUACAGAAGAAGCACCGGCUAACUAUGUGCCAGCAGCCGCGGUAAUACAUAGGGUGCAAGCGUUGUCCGGAAUUAUUGGGCGUAAAGAGCUCGUAGGUGGUUCGAUACGUCGGAUGUGAAAAUCAGGGGCUCAACCCCUGACCUGCAUCCGAUACGGUCGAGCUAGAGUUUGGUAGGGGAGACUGGAAUUCCUGGUGUAGCGGUGGAAUGCGCAGAUAUCAGGAGGAACACCGAUGGCGAAGGCAGGUCUCUGGGCCAAUACUGACACUGAGGAGCGAAAGCGUGGGGAGCGAACAGGAUUAGAUACCCUGGUAGUCCACGCCGUAAACGGUGGGCGCUAGUUGUGCGAACCUUCCACGGUUUGUGCGACGCAGCUAACGCAUUAAGCGCCCCGCCUGGGGAGUACGNGUCGCGAAGAUUAAACUACGAAAGUAGUAGUUGCGUGUUGAGAGCGCGACGCGACGACGGAGGAGG